rnacentral:ncRNA from 2 species
AGUACCCACAGGAGGGGCCGAGCGAGUCGGCUGAGAUUGUGCACUGAUGCUGCACUGACUCUUUGAACCUGUAAGUUAGCACUUGCGUAGGGAUGUGGAUAGAAACCGAC